AGUGAACGCUGGCGGCGUGCCUAACACAUGCAAGUCGAACGAUGAUGGAGGAGCUUGCUCUUCCUGAUUAGUGGCGCACGGGUGAGUAACGCAUAGGUAAUGUGCCCCUUAGUCUGGGAUAGCCACUGGAAACGGUGAUUAAUACUAGAUACUCCUUCUCAUUAUAAGAUGAGUCGGGAAAGUUUUUCGCUAAGGGAUCAGCCUAUGUCCUAUCAGGUAGUUGGUGAGGUAACGGCUCACCAAGCCAAUGACGGGUAUCUGGUUUGAGAGGAUGAUCAGACACACUGGAACUGAGACACGGUCCAGACUCCUACGGGAGGCAGCAGUGAGGAAUAUUGCACAAUGGAGGAAACUCUGAUGCAGCAACGCCGCGUGGAGGAUGACGCAUUUCGGUGUGUAAACUCCUUUUAAGAGGGAAGAUUAUGACGGUACCUCUUGAAUAAGCACCGGCUAACUCCGUGCCAGCCGCCGCCGUAA
rnacentral:rRNA from 1 species